rnacentral:misc_RNA from 1 species
GAAAUGCGAUAAGUAAUGUGAAUCGCAGAAUUCAGUGAAUCAUCGAAUCUUUGAACGCACCUUGCGCUCCUUGGUAUUCCUUGGAGCAUGCCUGUUUGAGUAUCAUGAAAUCUUCAAAGUAAAUCUUUUGUUAACUCAAUUGGUUUCUACUUUGGUAUUGGAGGUCUUUGCAGCUUCACACCUGCUCCUCUUUGUUCAUUAGCUGGAUCUCAGUGUUAUGCUUGGUUCCACUCGGCGUGAUAAGUUAUCUAUCGCUGAGGACACUGUAAAUGGUGGCCAAGGUAAAUGCAGAUGAACCGCUUCUAAUAGUCCAUUGACUUGGACAAUACUUUUAUGAUCUGAUCUCAAAUCAGGUAGGACUACCCGCUGAACUUAAGC